rnacentral:lncRNA from 1 species
ACCUGGGAUUCAAAUGGCCUGGCAGGAAGUGCUCUAGCAGAGGGACUCUGGCCUUGCAAGAGUCCCUAUUUCCCCCUUUUUUUUUGCUUUUCACACAGUAAAACCCUGCUUUACUUCCCUUUGAGUCGUCUGUGAGCCUAAAUUUUUGUGGCUGUGGGAAGGACAAGAACCCCAUCUUUAGCUGAAAUAAGGAAAAGUUCCGCAACAUUUUUGGCACACACCCUGGGGGCUCCGGAAGUGAAAGUUCCCAGGAGAUGAAGACAUUGAAACUGCCAUCAUAAAAUUAAUAAAAGGUUCAAGAUUAGAAUUAUGGUAUUGGCCUGGAUUUUGUUAAGACAGAGACAUAGGAUUAUGUUGGCUCGGAGAAUGAUACCUCAAAGGCUGGUGCUGAGAGUUCUUAGAAGCUGCUUCAGAAUCAAGGUUUAACCGUGUUUCUCCCCUUCCCUUACAACCCUAAGCUCAGGGAGGGACUCUUUGGAUUUCCUUAUCUGAUGAAGAAAGCUUUCUAAAAGAAAUUCUGUGGUCUUAAUCCCCCUCCCUAAGGAUCUCUCCAGAGAUCAACCACUGGAGAAAAGAUACUAGGAGUCAUCACCACAUCUAGACAGAGUGCUGCUCCAAGAGAUUAACUGAGGGAUUUCAUCUGCAUAAUAAGUCAACCUUUUUUCCGGGCGCAAUGGCUCACGCCUGUAAUCCUAGCACUUUCG